rnacentral:rRNA from 1 species
AGGUAGCGAAAUUCCUUGUCAGGUAAGUUCUGACCCGCACGAAUGGCGUAAUGAUUUGGGCACUGUCUCGACAGCCCGCCCGGCGAAAUUGUAGUACUGGUGAAGAUGCCAGUUACCCGCAACUAGACGGAAAGACCCCAUGGAGCUUUACUGCAGUUUAAUACUGGGAAUCGGUAAUGCAUGUACAGGAUAGGUGGGAGACUAGGAAGCAUGGUCGUCAGGUCAUGUGGAGUCACCGGUGGGAUACCACUCUUGUAUUGCUGAUUUCCUAACCUGCGGCCGUGAAUCCGGUCGGGGGACACUGUUAGACGGGCAGUUUGACUGGGGCGGUCGCCUCCAAAAGAGUAACGGAGGCGCUCAAAGGUUCGUUCAGCACGGACGGAAAUCGUGCAUUGAGUGUAAACGCAUAAACGAGCCUAACUGCGAGACCGACGGGUCGAGCAGUAACGAAAGUUGGAGUUAGUGAUCCGGUGGUAUGUGAGUGGAAAUGCCAUCGCUCAACGGAUAAAAGCUACCCUGGGGAUAACAGGCUGAUCUCCCCCAAGCGUCCACAGCGACGGGGAGGUUUGGCACCUCGAUGUCGGCUCGUCGCAUCCUGGGGCUGUAUUCGGUCCCAAGGGUUUGGCUGUUCGCCAAUUAAAGCGGCACGCGAGCUGGGUUCAGAACGUCGUGAGACAGUUCGGUCCCUAUCUGUUGCGGGCGUAAGAGAUUUGAAGGGAGCUGUCCUUAGUACGAGAGGACCGGGAUGGACGUACCUCUGGUGCACCAGUUGUCCUGCCAAGGGCAUAGCUGGGUAGCUAUGUACGGACGAGAUAAACGCUGAAAGCAUCUAAGCGUGAAACUCUCCCUAAGAUGAGAUCUCUCAUCCAUUAUGGAGUAAGGGCCCAGAAAGACGAUCUGGUUGAUAGGCCGGAGGUGGAAGCGCGGUAACGUGUGCAGCUGACCGGUACUAAUAGCCCGAGGGCUUGACCUA